rnacentral:rRNA from 1 species
UAGCCGUAAACGAUACUCGCUAGGUGUCGGCCACGGUGCGACCGUUGUCGGUGCCGUAGGGAAGCCGUGAAGCGAGCCACCUGGGAAGUACGGCCGCAAGGCUGAAACUUAAAGGAAUUGGCGGGGGGAGGCACCGCAACGGGAGGAGCGUGCGGUUCAAUUGGAUUCAACGCCGGACAACUCACCAGGAGCGACGGUUACAUGAAGGCCAGGCUGAUGACCUUGCCUGAUUUUCCGUAGAGGAGGUGCAUGGCGUAGUCGUGU